GAGUGUUUAGCAUUACACUUUUAAUGUAUUGGCUGUGGGUUCAAAUCCCGCAACACCUA
rnacentral:tRNA from 1 species